rnacentral:lncRNA from 1 species
AUUGAAUCAUAACUUAUGUAGGCUCCACACCUUUUUGAAGAAGGAAGUAAUAUUUUUGGGAGAAAAAAAUAAUUUCUGAUAAAAUCUCAGCUAUUGGAUUAAUUCAAAUAGAUUUCAAACAUAGAUAGUGGGAGAUAAUUUUUAGAUUCAAAAAAUUUUGUAUCUUAUAUUAUAGAUAUCUGAUAAAAUGACCUUCAAUUCGAGGCUUACGAGAUCAAUGGUUCGAAUUAUCAACGUGGGUUAAGUUAGGACACACAAAAGAGUUUGAAGAGGUAUGACUGAGGUUGGGGAGGAGCUGCACCUCUCUCACUCCCCGUUUGGAGUGUUUGGUCAUUGUGCUUAGAAACUGGGGGUGCAUUGAGAUCAGGAUUUGUGGUCUUUUUGGUUAUUUCAUUGAGGAGCGGAACUGUAAUAAAAAAAUAGGGUUAAUUUCACUUUACACCUUUAUACUUUGAUUCAAUUGUCACUUUGCUCCCUUCAUUUUUAAUUUUAGUAGUCCAAACAUGAUGCUUUAAGUCAACUGUCAAUGUCAUCCCUCCAUCCAUAUGGCGUCAUAAGGACUAACAAAAAACUUCGCACAUGCUUAUUUUUUAAGGGCAUUGAUAUAAUUUUAACCUUUAUAGAAUCUAUUAAAGGGUGCAAACUAAAAAUUCACUCAAAGUGCAGGGGUGCAAAGUGGUGAAUCAUAAAUACAAUUUGACAAACUUUAAAUUACUAGAUUUUGUUCCCACAAAAAAAUUACUCAAUAUUAUUUAAGUUGAUUCAUUUUAUGGGCCAUGGUCUCUAACUUAAUACAAUUGGCCUAUGUCACAAAAAUUUAAUAUCCAAACUCCUUUUGAAAACAAGUAGUGAUGUUUUCCUGUCUGAAUAUUAUAAAAAUAAAAAAUAAAUAAUGAUGUUUUACUUUUUGAAAUUUUAUAAAUAGAAAAUAAAACAAUAAAAAUUUAUUAUUUAAAUAAUAUGAAAAUAUAAGAUUUCGCUAUUAUGAAUUUCUACUAUUUGAAUAAAAUAAAUAUUGAAUUUUAUCUAUUUCAUGUUGUUGAAUUUGUUUACUGGAUGGAAGGAUUGACAUCGACGGCGACAACAGCAGCGGUGACACCGGCGAUGAUAAAGGUGGUACAAAUUAAAAUUUUAAACAAAUUCAUAUUUAGUAAAUUUCAUCUAUUGUGUUUGAUAUAUUAUUAUUUGACAUAUUCAGUAAAAUUUUAUGGCCAGCGAUAGUAGUGGACAAAUUUGUCAAAAGUGAUUUGAUAUUUUAUCAUUUGAAAAUUUUACUUUAUUAAAAUUGAAGUGAUUUUUGAAUAUUGAUGCAAAAUUUUUAUCUUUCUCUCGUCCUUUACUUUAUGUUGUACCAUUUUUUUAGUAUAUACACACUAGCUUUUAUAUAAAGCAAUAUAAAAGUACAGAGAGAAUAAAUUCUUCUUUUGGCCCUUGAAAGUGAAGGAUAGAAUAUUUUUUUUGUCCUCAAUUCAAAUGGAAUUGAACGGAAGGGGGACAUUGACAGUUGAUUAGUGCAAGGGUUGGACUGCUAAAUUUGAUAGUGAAAGAUGCAAAGUGACAACCAAUCAAAGUGCAGGGCUGCAAAGUGAAAAUAAACCUAAAAAAUAUUAUUAGAGUAUUAUUUUGGUUAAUUUCAUCAAGUGUGUGCAAUUAGCUCCCAAUGGCAUUAUAGUUAAUUAUCAUCAACAACAAGGGGCAUAUCAUAAAUAGAAACAACAUAUAUACAUAGGUAAUUUCACUUUUGUCCCUCCAACUUUGACCCUGAUUUCACUUAAGUCCCUUACCUUCUAAUUAUGGGAAUGUCAGCCUCCAAUUAGAACCAAUUUAGAGUGCCCCUUUUGUCAAUUAUAAUUUAGUAUUUUAUCCUUAAGGUAUAAAAUUGGAUUAUAAUUAUUUGAACUAAUUUGUAGGGAUAAUAAACGAAUGAAAUACUAAAUUGUUCAACGUUAGUUUAAAAACUUAACGAACUCAAAAAAUAAAGUAAAUUUCACUGACCUCCAUUGAGUUUUAUGAAAAUUACAACUAUCUCCCAUUUAGUUUCAGCAAUAACACUGAUUUUCAUUACUUUUGAAACUAAUGUCAAAAUUUCUCCCUUUGUUUUAGGAUUUUUAUUUUUUUCUCUCAAUACACCUAUUAAGAUAAAUUAAUAUAUCUUUUUCCAAAAUAAUAUUUAUUUAUAAUUUUUUUUUAAAUUUUUUUAUCAAUAAGUAUUUUUUAAAUAAAAAAUUGAUCUAAAUAUUUUACUUUUUAAAUACUGUUAAUCUAAACAUACUUAAAAAUAAUUAAUUAUUAAUUAUUUAAAACAUAAAUGAGAUAAUAUUUAUUUAUCUUAAUGGGUGUAUUGAGAAAAUUUUUUUGGAAGCCCAAGAUCAAAAUACAAGUUUGUCAUUUUUCUACAAAAAUAAACUCAAUCUUGACAUUAGUUUUAAAAGUAAGAGAAGUCAGUGUUAUUUCUGAAAUUACAGAAGAGGUAGUUAUAUUUGUCAAAAAUCUCAGGAGA